GCGGCCGCCUGAACCCCGGGCCCACAAGAGAGGUGGCAGCAUGCCCCGGGCCUCCUUGUGAUGUCAGGAGGCUGGACAGCCAAGAAAGAAGAAAAUGGACUCCCUCCUUCUGAAGACUUGCCUGGAAGCCAGCCCCGAGUGCUGGAGUGCACAGCGCCUCCAACGAGAACAGCUAAGAGGUGUGUCAAGUUGACAACCAACAUCGCUUCCACUUUGUGAAUGAAGAUGCUGAGGCCGCCAGUGGAGCCAGUAGCCUGGGUUUUCCAAGCAUCUCUCAUCUUCAGGCACACACACUGGA
rnacentral:lncRNA from 1 species